AAGUCGUAACAAGGUUUCCGUAGGUGAACCUGCGGAAGGAUCAUUAUUGAACAAACUUGGUUGGGUUGAUGCUGGCUCCUAGGAGCAUGUGCACGCUCAUUCCAAUUUCAACCACCUGUGCACCUUGUGUAGAUCUGAACAACUCUCGGGGAAACUCGGUUAGAGGAUUUGCUGUGUAUAAAAACCCAGCUUUCCUUGAGUUCAGAUCUAUGUCUUUAUAUACUCCAUAUGAAUGUAACGGAAUGUAAUUGAUAGGCGUCACUGCCUUUAAAAUCAAAUACAACUUUCAACAACGGAUCUCUUGGCUCUC
rnacentral:misc_RNA from 1 species